AGUGAACGCUGGCGGUAGGCCUAACACAUGCAAGUCGAACGGCAGCACAGUAAGAGCUUGCUCUUACGGGUGGCGAGUGGCGGACGGGUGAGGAAUACAUCGGAAUCUACUUUUUCGUGGGGGAUAACGUAGGGAAACUUACGCUAAUACCGCAUACGACCUACGGGUGAAAGCAUGGGAUCUUCGGACCUUGCGCGAUUGAAUGAGCCGAUGUCGGAUUAGCUAGUUGGCGGGCUAAAGGCCCACCAAGGCGACGAUCCGUAGCUGGUCGGAGAGGAUGGUCAGCCACAUUGGAACUGAGACACGGUCCAGACUCCUACGGGAGGGAGCAGUGGGGAAUAUUGGACAAUGGGCGCGAGCCUGAUCCAGCCAUACCGCGUGGGUGAAGAAGGCCUCCGGGUUGUAAAGCCCUUUUGUUGGGAGAGAAAAGCAGCAGGUUAAUACCCCGCUGUUCUGACGGUACCCAAAGAAUAAGCACCGGCUAACUUCGUG
rnacentral:rRNA from 1 species